rnacentral:rRNA from 1 species
GUGGGGAAUCUUGCGCAAUGGGCGAAAGCCUGACGCAGCCAUGCCGCGUGAAUGAUGAAGGUCUUAGGAUUGUAAAAUUCUUUCACCGGGGACGAUAAUGACGGUACCCGGAGAAGAAGCCCCGGCUAACUUCGUGCCAGCAGUCGCGGUAAUACGAAGGGGGCUAGCGUUGCUCGGAAUUACUGGGCGUAAAGGGAGCGUAGGCGGAUAGUUUAGUCAGAGGUGAAAGCCCAGGGCUCAACCUUGGAAUUGCCUUUGAUACUGGCUAUCUUGAGUAUGGAAGAGGUAUGUGGAACUCCGAGUGUAGAGGUGAAAUUCGUAGAUAUUCGGAAGAACACCAGUGGCGAAGGCGACAUACUGGUCCAUUACUGACGCUGAGGCUCGAAAGCGUGGGGAGCAAACAGGAUUAGAUACCCGUGUAGUCC